UCUAACUGGAACAUUGAUGAUAGGAAUGAUAGCCGUCAUGUUGGCUUGAAACUACACCCUAAUACUCCUACAUGCGCCUCAACUUUACAGAGUUGAUGGGGUCUGAAGCUAGGUGAAGUCGGCUGAAACUAAGCUAAGUCCAAGAGUGGAUAUGGUUAGUGAUAGGCCGGGGGGCUGAAAA
rnacentral:ncRNA from 2 species